rnacentral:misc_RNA from 1 species
GCAAACUUGGUCAUUUAGAGGAAGUAAAAGUCGUAACAAGGUUUCCGUAGGUGAACCUGCGGAAGGAUCAUUAAAAGUUGCGGACGUUCCGUCCGAACACGACCUUCCACCUUGUGAAUCUGUUCCUGUUGCUUCGGCGGGCCGUCCGGACUCGAGAGGGUCCGGCCCGCUGCCCCUCGGGGCGGCGAGAGAGCCCGCCAGAAGACCUUUUAAACUCGUGUUUUGGUGCCUGUCAGUACUUAAAUACAAAAUCGUUAAAACUUUCAACAACGGAUCUCUUGGUUCUCGCAUCGAUGAAGAACGCAGC